rnacentral:rRNA from 1 species
AGAGUUUGAUCCUGGCUCAGGACGAACGCUGGCGGCGUGCCUAAUACAUGCAAGUCGAGCGGACGAAUCGAAAGCUUGCUUUUGAUUCGUUAGCGGCGGACGGGUGAGUAACACGUGGGCAACCUGCCCUGUAGACGGGGAUAACACCGAGAAAUCGGUGCUAAUACCGGAUAACACGAAAUGUCGCAUGACGUUUCGUUGAAAGACGGCGCAAGCUGUCGCUACAGGAUGGGCCCGCGGCGCAUUAGCUAGUUGGUGAGGUAACGGCUCACCAAGGCGACGAUGCGUAGCCGACCUGAGAGGGUGAUCGGCCACACUGGGACUGAGACACGGCCCAGACUCCUACGGGAGGCAGCAGUAGGGAAUCUUCCGCAAUGGACGAAAGUCUGACGGAGCAACGCCGCGUGAGCGAAGAAGGCCUUCGGGUCGUAAAGCUCUGUUGUUAGGGAAGAACAAGUAACGCAGUAACUGGCGUUACCGUGACGGUACCUAACGAGAAAGCCACGGCUAACUACGUGCCAGCAGCCGCGGUAAUACGUAGGUGGCAAGCGUUGUCCGGAAUUAUUGGGCGUAAAGCGCGCGCAGGCGGUUCCUUAAGUCUGAUGUGAAAGCCCACGGCUCAACCGUGGAGGGUCAUUGGAAACUGGGGGACUUGAGUGCAGAAGAGGAGAGCGGAAUUCCACGUGUAGCGGUGAAAUGCGUAGAGAUGUGGAGGAACACCAGUGGCGAAAGCGGCUCUCUGGUCUGUAACUGACGCUGAGGCGCGAAAGCGUGGGGAGCAAACAGGAUUAGAUACCCUG